CCUACGGGCGGCAGCAGUGGGGAAUAUUGGGCAAUGGGCGCAAGCCUGACCCAGCAACGCCGCGUGAAGGAAGAAGGCUUUCGGGUUGUAAACUUCUUUUGACAGGGAAGAGCAGAAGACGGUACCUGUCGAAUAAGCCACGGCUAACUACGGGCCAGCAGCCGCGGUAAUACGGAGGUGGCAAGCGGUGUCCGGAUUUACUGGGUGGAAAGGGCGGGUAGCCGGGCUGACAAGUCAGAUGUGAAAUCCGGGGGCUCAACCCCCGAACGGCAUUUGAAACUGUUGGUCUUGAGUAUCGGAGCGGCAGGCGGCAUUCCUAGUGUAGCGGUGACAUGCGUAGCUAUUAGGAGGAACCCCAGUGGCGAAGGCGGCCUGCUGGACGACACCUGACGGUGAGGCGCGACAGCGUGGGGAGCAAACAGGAUUAGAUACCCCAGUAGUC
rnacentral:rRNA from 1 species